AGGGGGAGGGCCGCCGGCGGCAGUGCCGGUCUCCUCCUACAGGGACGCGCAGCCCGGGACCGCCACGCGCAGCGCGGGAGGGGGAGGGCGGGACCGGGGAACAGGAGGGGAGGGGGACCCGGGUGCUUCCAGCGGUCCGGGCCCGCGGACGGAGUGCGGGCCGAUCCCGCUCACUGUCCCCUUCCGCAGUCCGCGUGCAGCUCCAGGGAGCUGUCCGCCCCGGUGGUUCUGAACCAGGCGCCGCCGAAACGCUCCAGGAGCACCCAGGGAGCAAGAGAAGCCCUGCGACAGCAGCAAGGGACACUGUGGGGCUGCAGGAGUGGGAAGUUGACACUGUGGGACCAUGGUCCUUCCUGUUGAAUCUAAGCAGGCCUGUGACUACAGUGGAAGGGAAGCUACCUGACUUCCAAGGCUGACUCAUAACAAGUGCUGCUGCCUUGGCUUCUGGGGAAGCCAGCUGCUGCAUGGUUAGAUCACUCUGCAGCAAGACCCCCACAGAGUGCAACUGAGGCCUCCACAACAGCUGGCACCAGUGUGACAGUCACGGGAAUAAACUACCCUGGAAGUGGAUCCCGUCACUCCAAACAAGCCUUCAGAUGGCUGCCAGCUGAGCCAACAUCCAACUGAGCCUCAUGAAAAAUCCCAGACAUGGCCAUCAUGGCGUUAAUCUUAUCUCCAAGGAGAAAAAUUGGGAAGAGAGGCCUAGAUUCCUCAACAGAAGCGGGAAGGAAAGGUUUGCAGAAUGAAGAGUGUGAAGUGAGGUUUGUGGUUUGAAUCAUCCGAAUGUCAAGGAGAAAAGAAGAAAAAUGAAUCAUCAUCAUUUGACCACGGUAUUUACAGCUAGCGGAAGGGACAAGAGGAGAAAAAAGCAAGGGAGGAGAUAAAGGAAGAACGUCUCAGAAUAAAAUUGGGGUGGGUGGGGGGAGGAGGAGGAAGACAGUCUAAGAAAUUGGUUUGGUUGCACCAGUACUGGCCACAACACAAAAAUUUGUCCAUUCCUGGUUGAAAUUAAAAAUAAAUGUGCAUGCACAUGUA
ensembl:lncRNA novel transcript